CGUAGUAUACUGCUGCCGCCGCCUAGGGUUCGUCAGCGUUGCGCCGUUCCCGGGUUUCCUAAGUGUGGACCUGGUCGCGCUGCCCAUGUCCCUCCUCUCGCGGUCAUGGCGUGGUGUGGAGGUGGUCCGCGGGGACCGAAACCUCCGAUGGCCGCUGGGACCGUGUCGGCCGGCGUGGUGGUGGUGCUUUGCCGGGUCAGAGACCUCCGGUGGCCGCUGGGGCCAUGCCGGCCGCUGCGGGUCGCGGCGGUGGCGCACUGGGGCCUAGGCCGCUGGCAACUGGGCCGGCCGCUCCGGCGCCCGUGCUAGCCGCUGCGGGGCGGGGCAACGCGCAGGGGCCUAGGCCGCCGCCGACGGGGGCAGUCGUGGUGGCGCCUCGCAAGCAGACGCAGGCACAUGGGCAGCAGCCCCGGGCUGCGCCGCCGCCCCACUUCGUUGCAAGGCCGCCGCAAAAACGGGUUGGGCCGGUGCCGACGCACGCUCCGCCGCCUCAGCCUGAGCAUGGGGGCGAUGGAGGCGCGGACAUGCUCGUUUCCCGGUUAACCGCCUCGGGGACAGUGGGGUGACGAUGGCUGCAACGCCUAUGUUGAGGGCCAACAUCGUGGCUCGUCGUCGACGGGCGGCGGGCGUGGCUAUGCAUGGCAGAGUGAUGGAACAGCAGAAAGACCUUUUUAUGGUCCCCCGGGAGGCUUUGUUGAGGGGGGCAUCUGGCCUAGAUUACCGGCAGAGAGGUGGCUACCGAGGUCAUCGUGGUGGUCGCGGUGGGAGGAACCGUUACCGCCAACCUCCACCGCCUGUUGUUGUGGAACCGACGGCAUCCUCGGAGGUGGCUGCUUCCGAACAGACGCCGGAAUUGUCCAGUCAGGCGAUGGAUGUGGUGACGGCGCUGGCUAAUGUUGAGGUGCCUGAGACUGAGCCCUUGGUGACGGGUGCUGUCGGUGCCGCAGACAAGACAGAUGGUGAUAGAGCUUCCAAGGGGCUCGUAAAAAGGAGAAGAUGUUGUGUUAUCGUUGUGGUGAGAGGGGCCACUUUAUAGCUGAAUGUGUGACUGAGUUAUGUGAUACCUGCCUCAAGCCAGCGCAUGACACGGGAGAGUGCCCGAUACUGCGUGAUCAGAUGCCGAGUAUUACUAUUUAUGGAGUUUAUUGUGCCGAGUUGAUGUUUUUGAGUCUCCUAGUGCGAGGGAGAUCCCUGAGGAGCCCCAGAGCACGACCACGUGGAUUGUUAAAGUCACAAAAGGUGAUGUGUCUGAGGCUCAGAUUAUGCAGAGGCUGAGUGAGUUAGCUCCAGGUAAUUUUGAAUGGGAGCUUAUUCGACUCGAGGCCAAUAUGUAUAAGGUUGACUUCCCUACAACAGAGGACUUGGAGUGUCUUCUCAGUUUUGGGUUGUGCAAAGUACCUGGCACAGAGUGCAUCCUCGAGUUUCAUGAGUGGAAGAAGGUGGAGCCACAGGGCAAGCCUCUCACUCAGGUCUGGUUGCGAUUCUCGGGGGCUCCGUCGAAGCCACUUCAAGAUGCUCGGGUCGCUGCUAGCUUGGGGAUACUGGUCGGGAAGACCGAGAGGGUGUACAUGGCCUUUACCCUAGCUAACGGGGUGGCCCGACUACUGGUGAGUGUCCUGGAUAUCGAGUUUGUGCCCGAUGUGGUCAAGUGGACGCAUAGGGGCCAGGUAUACAACCUAGAGAUUGAGUUUGAGGACACAGAUCUUUUUGCUGAGGCUCUGGCAGGGACUGAUGUGGAUAUGCAUGAUAAGGAUGAUGGAUCGGGUAAUACGGAGGCGCGAGGGGAGGAUGUUGGGCGUGAGUUGCCAAACGGCCCGGGUUCUGCCUCACAGAUGCCCGGGAAUGGGGCUGCACCUUCAGCUACGGUGCCUAUGAACACUUUGAGAUUUGGUUCUUUUGAGCCAACUUCCGCCCCUCCUAAGUUGUGGAGCGAUCGGGUGGAGUCUGAGGAUGUGCUAGAACGCACGCUCCCUCCCCUGGACUUUGCUGAGGCAGAUGGCUCUCUGGAUCACUACUAGAAAUCCAUAUUUUACCUAGGGCCAAGUUCUUUACCUAGAGCUUAUUGACCUACUCAAGGGAUAGUAAAGCAAAGGAACAGUACACCCUAGGGGAAGAGAUUUCAGUCGAAUGGCCCACUUAGAAACGGCGCGCAGCGUGAAAGGCGCGGGCAGGAUGCAAAAUUUGGUCCUAGUUAGGUCUCUUCCCUCUUGAAGUGCUGCCAAAAGCCCAAACAUUUCCCUCUUUCCCCCUGAAACAUCCAUCAGGCACCGAGCCAUGCCCCAUCGCCGCGCCGCCGUGCUCAGCCCCAUCCAGAUCCCCAAUCCAUGGCCUCUAACUGCUGCCCUCCUACCCCGGCCGCCUCCCCCCUCACCGCCGCUUCCAGGGAGGGAUGUUGAAUGGAGAGAUCGAGGCCGUGGGGGACAGGCUACUGGUGCUGGCCGUGGAGGACGAGCUGGCGGUGGCAGCGCCGCUCAACGGCCGUCACUGCUGGCCGCUCGGCUCAGACGACUACACCGUCAUCCACUCAUCCAGAUGACCUCCCGCCUCCACCUCCACCUCCACACCUGUCAUGACGCCAUGACGCCCAACUGCCUAGAUUCUCGAAAAUAGCCAAGAAAUCCAGCUAUCUUCAUGUUUGAAGCUAAAUGGAGAGUCAGACAUCAAACUUCAAUGUUCGCGGGAACAAUGCUCAAUUGUGUUAGUGCCAUUAAGUACAGAUUGACAGGAACAGGUUGUUUCUAACAUGAUCUAUUAAGUCAUGUAUAGGUUGUCUCUUGGACGCCAUAGUGAUCAAAGAAUUUGAGUUGCAGCAAAAUCUAUCAACGAAAGUACUUGUUGCCAACCGAUAGCUUAUUACUCUGAUAAAACCUGAUUUUGGGUUUGAUCAGUUCAGAUUUUUGUAAAUGCAGUGUGCUUCCUUUUCAUUUAUCAAUCCUAUUUGUGUGAGGAAUGUUAGACUUUAAUUCUUUAGCAUUAACGUUACAUGAUCUUAAGAAUAAAUGUAUAGAACAUCUAAUUAUCAUAUGAGGGCAGGAUCUUACUGUCAUUGGGAGUAGCUUUUGCUUAGGUGGAGCGAGGUUCCACGCAUGUUUGAUGUAGGAUUGAUGAGUAGGGGAUCACUGCUGGUACAAGCGGUGAAACCCAUGCGUGACAUUACUGCAUUAUCUGUAUACAUCCUUUUUCUGUUUUAAUAACGAGAUAACUUUUAUUUGGUUGUCAGUUCCAUGUUUAUUUUUCUUUUAAGUAUUGAGACUUGUUGAUAUGUUGUACGUCAUGUUAUUUGUUCUACUGUAAGUAUUACUGAAAUACGUUAUGUAUAGGUAAGAGAGAAGAUGAUGCAAAGGCGAUAAAACGUUUCCAACGUUAAAAGGAAAAAGGACAGGAGCUUGGUUUAAGGGCAUCUUUGGUUUGGCCUCAUCAUCAAAUGUAUGUUGUGAGCUACUGGAGUUUAUGUUGAGUCGCUGAAGCACACACGUGAAGAUAAUGUUGAGUUUGACCACAAGAGAUCGAAAACUAUAGUGAUAGAGGGUGACGAUGACAUGCAAAUGGACAGCAGGCUAGUUCUGUGUAUCAAACACAGUGAGCAUAGUUUAGCAGAAUGUGAACAACUUCUAAGUUGUAGUUCUUGUAAUAUGUUUUUGUUGUGAGGAAUUCAGGCUCAAAAUUGACCAUAAGUGUGAUUGCAUGUGUUCGCUGAUAAUCUGAUUUGUAUGAUGAAUUUUGAAUGCAAUUUAUAAAUUUGA